rnacentral:rRNA from 1 species
AUUGAACGCUGGCGGCAUGCCUUACACAUGCAAGUCGAACGGUAACAGGCCGCAAGGUGCUGACGAGUGGCGAACGGGUGAGUAAUGCAUCGGAACGUGCCCAGUCGUGGGGGAUAACGCAGCGAAAGCUGCGCUAAUACCGCAUACGAUCUCUGGAUGAAAGCGGGGGACCGAAAGGCCUCGCGCGAUUGGAGCGGCCGAUGUCAGAUUAGGUAGUUGGUGGGGUAAAGGCCCACCAAGCCAACGAUCUUUAGCUGGUCUGAGAGGACGACCAGGCACACUGGGAGGGGGACACGGCACAGACUCCAACGGGAGGCAGCAGUGGGGAAUUUUGGAUAAUGGGCGCAAGCCUGAUCCAGCAAUGCCGCGUGCAGGAAGAAGGCCUUCGGGUUGUAAACUGCUUUUGUACGGAACGAAACGGUCCGGGUUAAUACCCUGGGCUAAUGACGGUACCGUAAGAAUAAGCACCGGCUAACUACGUGCCAGCAGCCGCAGUAAAAC